rnacentral:rRNA from 1 species
UGGGGAAUAUUGCACAAUGGGCGCAAGCCUGAUGCAGCCAUGCCGCGUGUGUGAAGAAGGCCUUCGGGUUGUAAAGCACUUUCAGCGGGGAGGAAGGCGUUAAGGUUAAUAACCUUGGCGAUUGACGUUACCCGCAGAAGAAGCACCGGCUAACUCCGUGCCAGCAGCCGCGGUAAUACGGAGGGUGCAAGCGUUAAUCGGAAUUACUGGGCGUAAAGCGCACGCAGGCGGUCUGUCAAGUCGGAUGUGAAGUCCCCGGGCUCAACCUGGGAACUGCAUUCGAAACUGGCAGGCUAGAGUCUUGUAGAGGGGGGUAGAAUUCCAGGUGUAGCGGUGAAAUGCGUAGAGAUCUGGAGGAAUACCGGUGGCGAAGGCGGCCCCCUGGACAAAGACUGACGCUCAGGUGCGAAAGCGUGGGGAGCAAACAGG